CCCGGUCCGGCCCCAGGGCCCGGUUCACCUGGACGCGGCCUCCCGGGCGCUGCGGGCUUCACGGGGCCCGUGGGAAUCAGACCAAAGCAUCAGACAGUUGAGUUCAAGGACCAGGUCUCGGGGCUUCCCCGUGCCCGCCGCUGACGACCCUGGGCCUACUGCCCCGUCCCGACCUGGAACAGUGCCAUUUUGGAUAUUCUCCUGGACUUUUCUGAAAACCCUGAGACUAAACAUACUCUGUCAGCCUCCCUGGUCUGCACUCCACCAUGUGGACAGGUCCAAUUCAGGGAUGUUCCAAUUGUGGAAUGAAUUGGUCAGGAAAGUCAUCAGUAAGACUUUUGAGUUACCCUACAGUAGAAGAAGUUCCAAUCCUCUCGGUGGUAUUGUGAGGUCAUCUGAAUGCAGAUGCCGCAAAUCAAGAUGUUUUGUGUUUGUUCACUGGUGAAAGCUGAUGUAUUUUUUUUUUUUUUGCAUUUCACUGUACCUUUGAAAAAUUAGUGUAAUGGUUACAUAAAACACAGAUUUUGAUCAAAUUAUGAACAUGUGUUUAAGAUCAAAUAAUAUAAAGCUCAGGACAUAUUCUAUUAGCUUCUAUUAUUAUUUUAUCGAGGCCCUACAAAUCACAACCUAUAAAUUGAGAAGCAUUGUGCCUUCUUUUCAUUUUCUUAAUUUUUAAAAUUUUUAGGAGAUGUUAUUUACUUAUUUGACAGAGAGGGAGAGCACAAGUGAGGCGGGGGAGGAAUAGGGAGAGGGAGAAGCAGAUUCCCUCCUGAGCAGGGAGCCCGAUGUGGGACUUGAUCCCAGAACUCUGAGAUCACGAUCUGAGCCAAAGGCAGAUGCUGAACUGACAGAGCCACCCAGGUGCCCCUGGAUUGUGCCUUCUUUUGGCGGAAAUGGAUAUUCCAACUGAUGAUUUUACCAGGGUAGGAAACAAGAGAUUUUGAAAGUGGGGAGAGAAGCCUCCAUUCUACAAGGUUAAGAAUCCUAAGGCUGGGCUUAGAGACGUGGAAAUGUGCCCAAACCAAACACCAUGGAGGCUAAACCUGAUGCAGGUUAAUCUGGUAACUGCUAUGAGGAAGCUGCUUAGGAUCCAGGUGGGGACCCUUAAAUUGUGCUCAAUUCCUAUAAAACUCAAACAUACCCACUACUAUCAGCCAUGUGGGACACUGAACUGUGUACUUCUGUUAUCACUUUAGCAUUCAACGAAAUUUUGUAAAAUACUGCAGUAGACCUAGACACCUUUGGAGAGUUAACCAAGAGAUCUAUGUCUCUGCUUGGGGAAAGUUGGAAUGCGGAGAAAGCAGCCCAGAUAAUCAACUUAUGAGAUAACGUGAUGUGACCUGCAAGAGCUCUGGAACAGAGGUUGUGAGGCCAGACACCUGAUAGAUCUGAGAUGAGACCCCUGGGUUGGAUGGCUAGAACAUCUAACAAUUCCUCAGAGAUUCCCAUAAAUCACUUGGGAAGAGGAACACGGCACAAGAGUGAACUAUCUAAAAUCGAUUUGGAUAUUAAAAGAAACAUAACUUUAUUUUGCGUUACAAGCUCCUGAGAUCUGGAAGCAUGUUGGUUGCAUUAUGCCCACCUUGGCAGGGAGACAGCUUAGGGCUGAAAGUAUUGCUUAGUUAUAAUAAUAAUCUCAUCUGGAAUGCCUAAAAUUGUUAGAAACUACCAGGAAGGGAAAUCCAAGUACAACAUCUUCUCUCUCCUAAAUAGUUCAUGACCUUUCUUUCCAUUUUUAUUACUGUAAAAACUUUUUUUUGUGUACUAUACUAAGGGGAUUUGAUUUGCACAUAAGCUAGGAUUUAGAUAUGCCUGAGCAUGUGCAGUGAGACUAGAGGGCUGCCUGCCAAGAGUCUGCUCAGAUGAGUGACUAGGGAGGCUCCUGAGAAGAUGGAGUCACUCCCAAGCUGGACCCAAAAUGAAACAGCAGAGUUGGAGGGAAAGAGUGACUCUGGGUAUAAUCAUCUUGUCACUUGUAUUAGCUAUGGGUUCUCUCCACCAUGGAUAUGUGUGUAAGUCUUCUGGAGACGAGUGUAAGUAAAACUAGGGGGGAAAAGUUUUAUUAAAACUCUUACAUGGGGGCACCUGGGUGGCACAGUCAGUUAAGCAUCUGACUCUUGGUUUGGCUCAGGUGGUGAUCUCAAGCUUGUGAGAUCGAGCCCCACGUCAGGCUCUGUGCUCAGGGCAGAGUCUGCUUAAGAUUCUUUCCUUCUAUCCUCCCACCCCCACCCCUACCCCUGCUCUCUCUCAAAUACAUGCAUACAUCUUUGAAAAAUACUUAAAAUAAAAUGAAACUCCUGCAUGAAGAGAAGUGGCA
rnacentral:lncRNA from 12 species